rnacentral:rRNA from 1 species
UACGUAGGGACCGAGCGUUGUCCGGAUUCAUUGGGCGUAAAGGGUGCGUAGGUGGCGUGGUAAGUCAGAUGUGAAAGCCCGGGGCUCAACCUCGGAAUUGCAUCCGAUACUGCCGUGCUAGAGUACUGAAGAGGUGACUAGAAUUCUCGGUGUAGCAGUGAAAUGCGUAGAUAUCGAGAGGAAUACCAACGGCGAAGGCAGGUCACUGGGCAGUUACUGACACUGAGGCACGAAGGCCAGGGGAGCAAACGGG